CCUACGGGAGGCAGCAGUGGGGAAUAUUGGGCAAUGGGCGCAAGCCUGACCCAGCAACGCCGCGUGAAGGAAGAAGGCCUUCGGGUUGUAAACUUCUUUUAAGAGGGAAGAGCAGAAGACGGUACCUCUUGAAUAAGCCACGGCUAACUACGUGCCAGCAGCCGCGGUAAUACGUAGGUGGCAAGCGUUGUCCGGAUUGACUGGGGGUAAAGGGCGUGCAGCCGGGAAGACAAGGCAGUUGUGAAAUGCCCGGGGUCAAACGCGGGACUGCAUUUGAAACUGUUUAUCUUGAGUACCGGAGAGGUCAGCGGAAUUCCUUGUGUAGCGGUGAAAUGCGUAGAUAUAAGGAAGAACACCAGUGGCGAAGGCAGAUGACUGGACGGAAACUGACGGUGAGGCGCGAAAGCGUGGGGAGCAAACAGGAUUAGAUACCCUUGUAGUC
rnacentral:rRNA from 1 species